AGUGAACGCUGGCGGUAGGCCUAACACAUGCAAGUCGAACGGCAGCACAGUAAGAGCUUGCUCUUACGGGUGGCGAGUGGCGGACGGGUGAGGAAUACAUCGGAAUCUACUUUUUCGUGGGGGAUAACGUAGGGAAACUUACGCUAAUACCGCAUACGACCUACGGGUGAAAGCAGGGGAUCUUCGGACCUUGCGCGGUUGAAUGAGCCGAUGUCGGAUUAGCUAGUUGGCGGGGUAAAGGCCCACCAAGGCGACGAUCCGUAGCUGGUCUGAGAGGAUGAUCAGCCACACUGGAACUGAGACACGGUCCAGACUCCUACGGGAGGCAGCAGUGGGGAAUAUUGGACAAUGGGCGAAAGCCUGAUCCAGCCAUACCGAGUGGGUGAAGAAGGCCUUCGGGUUGUAAAGCCCUUUUGUUGGGAAAGAAAAGCAGCAGGUUAAUACCCCGCUGUUCUGACGGUACCCAAAGAAUAAGCACCGGCUAACUUCGUG
rnacentral:rRNA from 1 species